rnacentral:rRNA from 2 species
CCUGCCCCAAAGCGGGGGAUAACAUUUGGAAACAGGUGCAUAAUACCGCAUAACUUGGAAAACCACAUGGUUUUCCAAUAAAAGAUGGUUUCGGCUAUCACUUUGGGAUGGGCCCGCGGUGCAUUAGCUAGUUGGUAAGGUAACGGCUUACCAAGGCGAUGAUGCAUAGCCGAGUUGAGAGACUGAUCGGCCACAAUGGAACUGAGACACGGUCCAUACUCCUACGGGAGGCAGCAGUAGGGAAUCUUCCACAAUGGGCGCAAGCCUGAUGGAGCAACACCGCGUGAGUGAAGAAGGGUUUCGGCUCGUAAAACUCUGUUGUUGGAGAAGAACGUGCGUAAGAGUAACUGUUUACGCAGUGACGGUAUCCAACCAGAAAGUCACGGCUAACUACGUGCCAGCAGCCGCGGUAAUACGUAGGUGGCAAGCGUUAUCCGGAUUUAUUGGGCGUAAAGCGAGCGCAGGCGGUUGUUUAGGUCUGAUGUGAAAGCCUUCGGCUUAACCGAAGAAGUGCAUCGGAAACCGGGCGACUUGAGUGCAGAAGAGGACAGUGGAACUCCAUGUGUAGCGGUGGAAUGCGUAGAUAUAUGGAAGAACACCAGUGGCGAAGGCGGCUGUCUGGUCUGCAACUGACGCUGAGGCUCGAAAGCAUGGGUAGCGAACAGGAUUAGAUACCCUGGUAGUCCAUGCCGUAAACGAUGAGUGCUAGGUGUUGGAGGGUUUCCGCCCUUCAGUGCCGAAGCUAACGCAUUAAGCACUCCGCCUGGGGAGUACGACCGCAAGGUUGAAACUCAAAGGAAUUGACGGGGGCCCGCACAAGCGGUGGAGCAUGUGGUUUAAUUCGAAGCUACGCGAAGAACCUUACCAGGUCUUGACAUCUUGCGCCAACCUCAGAGAUGAGGCGUUCCCUUCGGGGACGCAAAGACAGGUGGUGCAUGGUCGUCGUCAGCUCGUGUCGUGAGAUGUUGGGUUAAGUCCCGCAACGAGCGCAACCCUUGUUACUAGUUGCCAGCAUUCAGUUGGGCACUCUAGUGAGACUGCCGGUGACAAACCGGAGGAAGGUGGGGACGACGUCAGAUCAUCAUGCCCCUUAUGACCUGGGCUACACACGUGCUACAAUGGCCGGUACAACGAGCA